GUGAGGAAUAUUGGUCAAUGGACGCGAGUCUGAACCAGCCAAGUAGCGUGAAGGAUGACUGCCCUAUGGGUUGUAAACUUCUUUUAUAAGGGAAUAAAGUGAGGGACGUGUCCCUUUUUGUAUGUACCUUAUGAAUAAGGAUCGGCUAACUCCGUGCCAGCAGCCGCGGUAAUACGGAGGAUCCAAGCGUUAUCCGGAUUUAUUGGGUUUAAAGGGAGCGUAGGUUGACAUAUAAGUCAGCUGUGAAAGUUUACAGCUCAACCGUGAAAUUGCAGUUUAUACUGUAUGUCUUGAGUGUACAAGAGGUGGGCGGAAUUCGUGGUGUAGCGGUGAAAUGCUUAGAUAUCACGAAGAACUCCAAUUGCGAAGGCAGCUCACUGGGGUACAACUGACACUGAGGCUCGAAAGUGUGGGUAUCAAACAGGAUUAGAAACCCGGGUAGUCC
rnacentral:rRNA from 1 species